rnacentral:rRNA from 1 species
CAAUAGCGUAUAUUAAAGUUGUUGCGGUUAAAAGCUCGUAGUUGGAUUUCUGUCGAAGACGGUCGGUCCGCUCUAUGAGCGUGUAUCUGAUUCGGCUUUGGCAUCCUCGUGGGGGACGUAACUGUGCUUGAUUGCAUGGUGCGGAAUUCACGACUUUUACUUUGAGGAAAUUAGAGUGUUCACGGCAGGCAAGCGCCUUGAAUAUAUUAGCAUGGAAUAAUAAUAUAGGACUUUGGUUCUAUUUUGUUGGUUUCUAGGACUAAAGUAAUGAUUAAUAGGGAUAAUUGGGGGCAUUUGUAUUAACGCGUCAGAGGUGAAAUUCUUGGAUUUGUUAAAGACGGACUACUGCGAAAGCAUUUGCCAAGGAUGUUUUCAUUGAUCAAGAACGAAAGUUAGGGGAUCGAAGACGAUUAGAUACCAU